rnacentral:misc_RNA from 1 species
CAGAGUUAAUCCAACUCACCAAAACCAUGUGAACUUAACCUAUGUUGCCUCGGCGGCGGACCUACGCGGCAGCUACCCUGUAGCUGUGAGCUUACCCGCCGAUGGACCGUUCAAACUCUUGUUUUAAUUUGGCACUUCUGAAUUAUUAUAAAAUUAGUUA